GGACUACCAGGGUAUCUAAUCCCAUUCGCUACCCACGCUUUCGUGUUUCAGUGUCAGGAGUGGCCCAAUGUGCUGCCUUCGCUUUCGGUGUUCCCCAUGAUAUCAACGGAUUUCACCCCUACUCCAUGAGUUCCACACAUCCCUGCCAUCCUCUAGUCGUGCCGUUUCAAUCGCACAUCCGGGGUUAAGCCCCGGGUUUUAACAAUUGACUAACACAACCACCUACACACCCUUUACGCCCAAUGAUUCCGGAUAACGCUCGGGGCACUCGUAUUACCGCGGCUGCUGGCAC
rnacentral:rRNA from 1 species